rnacentral:rRNA from 15 species
UACCCCGGGGAUAACAGGCUUAUCUCCCCCAAGAGUCCACAUCGACGGGGAGGUUUGGCACCUCGAUGUCGGCUCAUCGCAUCCUGGGGCUGUAGUCGGUCCCAAGGGUUGGGCUGUUCGCCCAUUAAAGCGGUACGCGAGCUGGGUUCAGAACGUCGUGAGACAGUUCGGUCCCUAUCCGUCGCGGGCGCAGGAAAUUUGAGAGGAGCUGUCCUUAGUACGAGAGGACCGGGAUGGACGCACCGCUGGUGUACCAGUUGUUCUGCCAAGGGCAUCGCUGGGUAGCUAUGUGCGGACGGGAUAAGUGCUGAAAGCAUCUAAGCAUGAAGCCCCCCUCAAGAUGAGAUUUCCCAUUCCUAUAAGGAAGUAAGAUCCCUGAAAGAUGAUCAGGUUGAUAGGUCUGAGGUGGAAGUGUGGCGA